rnacentral:pre_miRNA from 1 species
UGCUAGCCUCAGGGGGGAGUCCCUAAGGUGAUUUGUAGCUGUCCUAAGUCUGAUUUUCUGUGUUAAUUGACAAAAAGCAGCUGCUGUUAUGUUUUGGACAGUGUUUUAAAACUAUCCAAAACAUGGGAAAAAUAUAGUUUGUUUACUUGAAGGGAUAUCAGACUUAGGACAACGACAAAUCACCUUAGGGACCCCUCUGAGGCUAGCA